rnacentral:rRNA from 1 species
CCUACGGGUGGCAGCAGUGGGGAAUAUUGCACAAUGGGCGCAAGCCUGAUGCAGCCAUGCCGCGUGUGUGAAGAAGGCCUUCGGGUUGUAAAGCACUUUCAGCGGGGAGGAAGGCGGUGAGGUUAAUAACCUCAUCGAUUGACGUUACCCGCAGAAGAAGCACCGGCUAACUCCGUGCCAGCAGCCGCGGUAAUACGGAGGGUGCAAGCGUUAAUCGGAAUUACUGGGCGUAAAGCGCACGCAGGCGGUCUGUCAAGUCGGAUGUGAAAUCCCCGGGCUCAACCUGGGAACUGCAUUCGAAACUGGCAGGCUAGAGUCUUGUAGAGGGGGGGUAGAAUUCCAGGUGUAGCGGUGAAAUGCGUAGAGAUCUGGAGGAAUACCGGUGGCGAAGGCGGCCCCCUGGACAAAGACUGACGCUCAGGUGCGAAAGCGUGGGGAGCAAACAGGAUUAGAUACCCUUGUAGUC